CUGGCAUCUGUGCUGGGGAGUGGCCCCCGGGGCGGGCCUCUGCUCCGUCCCUACCUGGGGCCUGCACUCUUGCUCCGGGCACG
rnacentral:pre_miRNA from 1 species